rnacentral:pre_miRNA from 1 species
AUUAUACUCCCUCCGUCCGAAAAUACUUGUCAUCAAAAUGGACAAAAAGGGAUGUAUCUAAAACUAAAAUACAUCUAGAUACAUCCCUUUUAUCCAUUUUGAUGACAAGUAUUUUCGGACGGAGGGAGUAUAUA